GACGAACGCUGGCGGCGUGCUUAACACAUGCAAGUCGAGCGACGCUCUUCCUUCGGGGAGAUGACGGAGCGGCGAACGGGUGAGUAACACGUGGGCAACCUACCCCUAGCUCUGGGACAACACCGGGAAACCGGUGCUAAUACCGGAUACGACAUCGAGCGGCAUCUCUCGAUGUGGAAAGUUUUUUCGGCUAGGGAUGGGCCCGCGGCCUAUCAGCUUGUUGGUGGGGUAAUGGCCCACCAAGGCGACGACGGGUAGCCGGCCUGGGAGGGCGACCGGCCACGCUGGGACUGAGACACGGCCCAGACUCCUACGGGAGGAAGCAGUGGGGAAGAUUGCGCAAUGGGCGAAAGCCUGACGCAGCGACGCCGCGUGAGGGAUGACGGCCUUCGGGUUGUAAACCUCUUUCAGCAGGGACGAAUUCAGACGGUACCUGCAGAAGAAGCACCGGCCAACUACGUG
rnacentral:rRNA from 1 species